AGUCAUGUUCCCAGAGUAUCCAGAUAUCUACAACUUUACUCAAGAAAUCAAGGCAACAUUCAAUCAUAACUGUAUGCUGCCUGGAAUACAAUUACUGGAUAGUGGGAUUGGACAUUUUCCAGCUAUUUCUUCUGGGGAGCAUUGUUCUUCUAUCUGUCUAGAAAUACCUGAUUGUAAGUCAUGGACUAUAGACUUAAGAAUAAGUCGGUGUUGGGCAGCAUCCGGUCAGUGGAGGUACGCUUAUGAUGACAAAUUCAUUACCGGGUCUAAAGGAUGCUAGAAGAACCAACAUCACACAGAUUAAAGAUAUGCUAGAGGAGUUGAUACAUUUUUUCUGCAAGAAAUUUUUAUAUUAAAAGCUUUUUUAGUUAAAAUAUUAAAAAUUAAUCAAUGCGGGAUAGAAACCAGAGAGUUGUUGUAAUAAAACCUGUGUCAGUUUAUAGUUUAUACAUAUACUACAUAUGGCAUCAAAUGAUACGCGUCUGAAGCCAGUUUCUGCAUUGCAAAAUUGUAAAUUAUAAAUAAAAACCUAAUCUUAA